rnacentral:rRNA from 1 species
GCAGUAGCCACGGUAAUACGUAGGGUGCAAGCGUUAAUCGGAAUUACUGGGCGUAAAGCGUGCGCAGGCGGUUAUAUAAGACAGAUGUGAAAUCCCCGGGCUCAACCUGGGAACUGCAUUUGUGACUGUAUAGCUAGAGUACGGCAGAGGGGGAUGGAAUUCCGCGUGUAGCAGUGAAAUGCGUAGAUAUGCGGAGGAACACCGAUGGCGAAGGCAAUCCCCUGGGCCUGUACUGACGCUCAUGCACGAAAGCGUGGGGAGCAAACAGGAUUAGAUACCCCUGUAGUCCCUGUCUCUUAUAC